rnacentral:rRNA from 1 species
CCUACGGGAGGCAGCAGUGGGGAAUAUUGGACAAUGGGCGAAAGCCUGAUCCAGCCAUGCCGCGUGUGUGAAGAAGGCCUUCGGGUUGUAAAGCACUUUCAGUGGGGAAGAAAGCCUUGGGGCUAAUACCCUCGAGGAAGGACAUCACCCACAGAAGAAGCACCGGCUAACUCCGUGCCAGCAGCCGCGGUAAUACGGAGGGUGCGAGCGUUAAUCGGAAUUACUGGGCGUAAAGCGCGCGUAGGCGGUCUGAUAAGCCGGUUGGGAAAGCCCCGGGCUCAACCUGGGAACGGCAUCCGGAACUGUCAGGCUAGAGUGCAGGAGAGGAAGGUAGAAUUCCCGGUGUAGCGGUGAAAUGCGUAGAGAUCGGGAGGAAUACCAGUGGCGAAGGCGGCCUUCUGGACUGACACUGACGCUGAGGUGCGAAAGCGUGGGUAGCAAACAGGAUUAGAUACCCUAGUAGUC